rnacentral:misc_RNA from 1 species
AAGAGUUGCAAAACUCCAACCAUCGCGAAUGUAACCUUCUACAAGUUGCUUCGGCGGGCGGCCCCGAGAGGGGCCGCGCUUCUGCCCGCACGCGCGGGAGAGCAAGCCCGCCGGAGUCGUACAAACUCUUUUGUAUUUGUUGGCAUCUCUGAGUAACUUACACAAUAAGUUA